rnacentral:rRNA from 1 species
CCCUUAGAUGUUCUGGGCCGCGCGCGCGCUACACUGAUGCAUUCAACGAGUCUAAAACCUGCUCUGAUAGGGGUGGGUAAUCUUUUGAAUGUGCAUCGUGAUUGGGAUAGAUGAUUGCAAUUUUUCAUCUUCAACGAGGAAUGCCUAGUAAACGCAAGUCAUCAGCUUGCAUUGAUUACGUCCCUGCCCUUUGUACACACCGCCCGUCGCUCCUACCGAUUGAAUGAUCCGAUGAAUAUCAUGGAUUGAGGAUGCAAGUAGGUUAGCCUAUCUUCAUCUUCGAGAAGUGAAGUAAAUCUUAUCAUUUAGAGGAAGGAGAAGUCGUAACA